rnacentral:lncRNA from 1 species
GAAUUGAGCUCUAGGCCUUAGGCAAGACCAAAGAGGAAAAGAAAAUCAGCUUCUUCAAAGUCAAUAAAGACUGGAGGGAAAGCAACUGAUAAAACUACUCAUAUGACCACACAUAUGAACUAUCAGGAAAGAUACCAAAGGACAAACUCUUAUUGAGGUAAAAGACAACAUAAAGAUCCCACUGGUGAUGGACAAGAGCGAUCUGCAUAUUUUACAGAUAAUUUUUGUAAAGCAUGUGGAGUGGUUCUACAGCAUGAAUCAGAAAGGAUUUCACAUUUUGAGAGUGAAAUACAUGCUCAAAAUGUUAAGUUCUCUUUUCAAAUGCACGGAGAACAGCAUGAAGUGCCUGGUAGGAAAGUGAGCGUGCAUGUUGGGAAUUCUCAGGUGUACUCAAGUGGAGAAGUCAACAGAAACAAAUUUCCUGGUCUCUGCAACAUGAGCUUUGACUCCACAGCUGCUGCUCCAUCUCACUAUGUGGGAAAGAGCCAUUCUCAAACUCAGAAGCAACUACUGGAAGAACGUGGUCGAGGGUCUCCAUCUGCAUGCCCAUCAAAGAUGGAUAAACACAGUACUACUCCAGCACCACCAACCUUCCUGAAGUCUGUUAUUGUGAAGC